AAACUUGCUCGAAAAAGACAACCAACCUCCUCGGACUUCAGGCCCGAAGAGAACUUCCUAUUUGAACUCUACACCUCCUUCGUCCAUAAUACCGACAACCACCAGUUCAGCAAUAGCUCUAUCAUGGACCUGAUCAACGAGGGACUGAAGUACCAAGCUAGAGUAAGCUUAACUUAUCCAUUUACAUCUCGGCCCAUUAAUUUUGAACUGAUAGAUUAACACUGAUCAUCCGCAGGCAAGCACUGUCUUCGGAUGCCUCCGCCCCAAAUACCAAGAGGCCGAAGCCGAAGAGAAAGCUGCUCGAAGAGAGAAUACCCUGCUUAAGUCUGCUCUGACGAAAGAUAGAAGUAGUCUCAAAGUUGCUUUUCACGAUAAUGAGUGCCUUCAGAAAGACCUUGCCCAAACCAAAGAAGAUUUGAAAACGUCCCUGGCCACUCACCAAGUCAUCACUGAUAUAAAUAUUGAUCUGUCAAGCUAAAGGAUCAAAGCAUCUAGUACAUCGUCAGAAGCUCGAAGAAGAGCUCAAAGAGCUUCGGGCCCUUAAGAAUUUGAGUUCGCCACUGACCGAAGACUUUCGUAGGGAUAUCCAGGCCUAAUACAGAAAAUCCGCCGAGCUGAACAAUAAGAUCGUCCAUAUGUAUGCGAAAGGAUAUGAAAUCUGCUGAAGUAAAGGCAAGAAAAAGCUCAGGCCAAGGUAGAUCCAUCUCUUCUAGACUCUUUAGAUGGUAACGAUGACAAGGAAGAAGCCUGAAGAUGACCUCUCCUUAUCUCUAGCUGUAGAACUUUCUGUGAAAAUUCUAACUUUAUGUAAACAGUUAAUAUUUAAUGAAAUAUCAACUUCAUGCCUUAUUACUUCUGUAUGAACAUUUCUUGUCAAUAAUUCAGUAUCAAUUAAUCUGUAUGAACUUAACUUAGAAUAUGAAUUAGAUAAGGUGUAUAACAGUUAAUUUAUGAAAUGAAGUGAACUGAAUUUAAUGAAUAGAAUUUAAUGAAAAGUAUUGAAUGAACUGAACUCAACACUUGAACAAAAUAAAGUAAUGUAUAUUUAUCGUUUCCGAAGUGUGAGAUCGGUCAUGUGUGAAGUGAAUUCGGCUGAUCCUCCUUGCACCAUCAAAAUCUUGUUUACCGCUCGGGGUGAAACAAUUAUAUAAGGACCAAGAUAUAAGGACCAAGAUAUAAGGAUCAAGAUAUAAGAAUCAAGAUAUAAGGAUGACACUUGCCUACCACGAAGGGCCUGACAAGGUCUAAGUGACGAUAAUUGCCUACCACGAAGGGCCUAACAAUGCCAAAAGAUGACACUUGCCUACCACGAAGGGCCUGACAAGGUCUAAGUGACGACAAUUGCCUACCACGAAGGGCCUGACAAUGCCAAAAGAUGACACUUGCCUACCACGAAGGGCCUGACAAGGUCAUAAGGACCACCUGCCGAAGAGGCCACCAUCGAAUGGUCAGCGAGUCCUCCCGAACCUCCU
rnacentral:lncRNA from 1 species